UCCGUAGGCGGGCAAUUAAGUCAGAGGUGAAAUCCCACAGCUCAACUGUGGAGCUGCCUUUGAUACUGGUUGUCUUGAGUUACAGUGAAGUAGAUAGAAUAUGUAGUGUAGCGGUGAAAUGCAUAGAUAUUACAUAGAAUACCGAUUGCGAAGGCAGUCUACUAACUGUAUACUGACGCUAAUGGACGAAAGCGUGGGGAGCGAACAGGAUUAGAUACCCUGGUAGUCC
rnacentral:rRNA from 1 species